rnacentral:miRNA from 1 species
AAGCGGCUGCCUCUGAGGC